UUAGUGGCGCACGGGUGNGUAACGCGUGGGAAUCUGCCCUUGGGUUCGGAAUAACAUCGGGAAACUGAUGCUAAUACCGGAUGAUGACGUAAGUCCAAAGAUUUAUCGCCCAGGGAUGAGCCCGCGUAGGAUUAGCUAGUUGGUGAGGUAAAGGCUCACCAAGGCGACGAUCCUUAGCUGGUCUGAGAGGAUGAUCAGCCACACUGGGACUGAGACACGGCCCAGACUCCUACGGGAGGCAGCAGUAGGGAAUAUUGGACAAUGGGCGAAAGCCUGAUCCAGCAAUGCCGCGUGAGUGAUGAAGGCCUUAGGGUUGUAAAGCUCUUUUACCCGGGAUGAUACAUGACAG
rnacentral:rRNA from 1 species